CUGCACUUCUCCAAAAUGAGAUUCUUAGGUAGAAGAAUUGAGCUUCGAGUUCAGACAACGACUCGGCUUUGGCAGUGACUGGAGGAGGUGGUGACAGAGGAUGAAGGGGUAGAGGAUUGCAAGGUAGGCAGUCCAAAUCCAAGUCAAGGGACUACAGCAAGAUUAGGUGUUACAAGUAUGAUGAGUUAGAGCAUCGAGUCAGAGAUCAUCCACAGCUCAGAGAUCGAAAGAAGGCUA
rnacentral:lncRNA from 1 species